rnacentral:rRNA from 1 species
UGGGGGAUAUUGCACAAUGGGCGAAAGCCUGAUGCAGCGACGCCGCGUGGGGGAUGAAGGCCUUCGGGUUGUAAACUUCUUUUGCUCUGAACAAGGCAUGCCUUUGGGGUGUGUUGAGUGUAGGGGUUGAUUAGCGCCGGCUAACUACGUGCCAGCAGCCGCGGUAAUACGUAGGGCGCGAGCGUUGUCGGGAAUGAUUGGGCGUAAAGGGCUUGUAGGUGGCUGGUUGCGUCUGUCGUGAAAGCUCAUGGCUUAACUGUGGGUUUGCGGUGGGUACGGGCUGGCUUGAGUGCAGUAAGGGAGGCUGGAAUUCCUGGUGUAGCGGUGGAAUGCGCAGAUAUCAGGAGGAAUACCGGUGGCGAAGGCGGGUCUCUGGGCUGUUACUGACGCUGAGGAGCGAAAGCGUGGGGAGCGAACAGG